UUUUUUUUUUUUUUUUUUUUUUUUUUUUUUUGGUAGGAGGAUCUGAAGAAAUACAACUGAAUUUCUCUGAAUUCUCUACAUUCUCUACAUUCCUCUGAACGUAGAGGAUGAUGAAGAGGAGACAGCUUGGUUUUUUUCUCAAAUGGAAACUGAUGGGAAAACAAAAAGCUACUAAUUUAAUAUUUUUUAGAAAUAUAUCUCUGGUAUCAAAGGCAAAACAAUCAAGGUGUGGGACUCAGUUGCCCAUAGAGUUAUUUUAGGCAUGCAGGGUACCUAUUUAGCUGCUUCCAUCUGCUCCUCCAUAGGUAGCUCAGAGGCUUUCUAACAUGUCUGCCAACAUCUGACACUGGUACCUAAAGUAGUUGAUCAAAGACAUUGUGUGCCUGUGUUUGGAAAGUGAAUCUUGCCUUGUCUUUUUAGUUUAAUUUGUGGCGAUUUGUCAUUGUGUCUUCUUUAAAAAAAAAAAUCUAAUUUUAUAUUUCUUUUGUUGUUUUUCUCCAAGGAAAUCCUGUCUUUGAUAUAUAUAGAAUAUUGGUUGGUCUCAGGCACUUCUCAGUAGAGAUUGCUGAAGAUGCAGCUCCCAAACAUCACUCAAAUGCAAAGUAACAGACAUACAUGUUCUUUUAGUAAUUACUAGGGGAAAAUGCUUGAAGAGUAUUUGUUUGUGGACUAGUGAUUCAAAAAUUUGUACAAAGGAGAUUUGAGACUAAGCACUUACAAGCUAAAGGAGUCACUGGACUCUGACACUUGCUCUCCUUUGGGAAGAUGCUGUCCAGUAGGAAUGAUGUGGAAAAGUCACCACCAUGUUUUUUCUAAUGUAUGUGUUUUGAAAAGUAGUAGUGAAGAGUAGAAUAGAAUAACCCUUUCAUAAGAAACAUGCCACACCACAGGAGUUCUUUCAAGACAAGUCACUUUCACUGCAGACCACAGUAAGAUCCUGAAGUCCUGCAGAGGGCUGAGCCCCAAGAUGUGUUUCCCUUUCUAGUGUUUCUCUUGGCUGACUCUUGGCAGUACCCUGCCCAGCAGGAUGACUGUGCUCAAUGUCAUCUCUGGCCCAUCCUUCUUCUGUAUAAGGGCAUGGGGGUUCCUUUUAGACUCCUCUUAAAAGCCCAUGUACCCAAAAUCAUCACAUCAUCUAAUGUUUAAGAACUGUAUCUUCUUUCUUUCCAUUCAUCCACUGUAAAAUACCAAUAUAUUAUAAACAGACUGAAAUUACCACAUUAUUUUUAUACAGACAUGCAACGACUAACAUGCACAGCAGAUUUUAUAGUCAUAGUAUUCCUUUGAUUACUACUAACCUGAGCUAGUAAAACCCCUUAAGCAGUUCCAAUUGUCAUCAAAGAUCUGAUGGGAUUGUACAAACUAAAGAUGAUGAAAGUGUUGCAUGAGAAGUCUCUGUAAAAAAAAUCCAUCUUUCAUUCAAGUAAUUUCCCAGCAAUACCCCUGUGAACAGCAGUGAGAAUUUUGUGUGAGUAAGAAUUGGUUGAAGAUAGCUAAGAUAGAUCUACACCCUGGGCAUCUCUACCACGUAUUGUUGUAAAAAGUAGCACUGGGAUGUAUCACAUCCUUAAUUCAUAACAACUACUAAAUUGAGGCUCUUUCCCACCUUGGUUUACAUGAAAUAUUUCUAUUCUUAUCUCUUCUUAGCUGUUGGAUCUUUGCUGAAAGGGAGAGUUUGCCCUACUAUGGAAUGGAUAGCCUGCUCUGCUAAAGCUGUUCCUGCCUGCAGGGAUCCCUGGCUCUCCAAGAGAACUAAGGUCUAGUAAAGUCACUGAUGUCCUUUGCCUUUUGUUCAAGCCCCUCCUGUUGGUGUCAUUCCCUGACCUGCAGACCUACUCUAUGCAGCAGCUUUGGCAGGGCUACUUCUUCAGAGACACACCUUCUCACACACCCCUUGGUUUCCCCAGCUUUGGGGAGAGUUAAAGCAGAAGACAUAUUUCUGUUGGCUGUGCACUAUCCUUGGGAAGUAUAAAGCCAGAGAACAUUUUCAGGCUCCUGCCUCCAACCUCCUCCCGGAGGGGACUCCAGAGUUUUCUGGGGAAGCAGGGAGUGACAUCACAGCUGCUGACUGCCCUACACACCAACACAGAUCUCCAUCAGUAAAUGACCUCUUGCCUGGCUGUUUCCUUGCUGUAGCUGGUACAAAUACUCUCCCAUUCCAGAGCUACAAACCCUUCUCAUCAAAUAGAUGGGUCCAUCAGAGUUCCACCACCCUCACAGUUCUGCCCAAGAUGCAACACUGACUGACAUGAAUCAUGGUUUUGCAGAUGUUUUUCCAUACUUGAAAAAAUUAAGUUAACCUUUGUAAGCAGUUGCCUUAAAAUAGAACAUAACAUACAUACAGCUUUUCUGUGGUUUCAUUUUGUGUUUCCUUGGAAGUAAGAAACCAGAAAAAUGUUUCCUUCAGAAGCUUUAAAAAGUUUCAUGUAUUAGUAAAGGUAAAGGUACAGCAAAACAAAGUAUGAGUGGAUGGAACAACAAGCAAAUCUGUUUAAAGAACUCCUUUGCAAAGUUAACAAUGACUCAAUAGUAAAUUGUUUUUUAAUAAGUUUUGUAUUCUCCUGGUGUAUGGUUAAAGGGUUAAUUUAACGCUUGACCCAUUAAAACCGUUGAGUGCAGUGAGAACCUUGUAAGGCUGAUCAGAUGAUUAUUGCUGGAAGAUAAGUGGUUGAAAACCGAGCCUCACUAGUUCAGGUAAUCAAGGGAAAUUGGCAUAAAAGAGAAGAUGCGGCUGAGUAAAGACAGAACAGCUACCUGAGAUUCUAUUACUUGUCGUCUUUCAAGCAUAAUAAUGAGAUUAUAGUAACCCUAAACUGGCUGAAAACAGAAAUCUGGCUGUCUGUCAAGUUCAUUGUGUUGAGUUUUACAACACUCCAGAUCUGGUUCCUCUGAACCUAUAAUAAUUAUACCAGGAAGACAGGCUCAAAGAAACUCUUUUCAACCUUGGACCUUUGUCAGGUUUUGGCUUGUGACCAGAGUACCAUUGUUUAUGUCAUGGGAAAGAAAAAAGAGAAAAAAAACAGCCAAAAAACAUUGUUAAUGUUUAUUAUUAUUUUUUCAUCAUGCAAUUCUUAAAAAAAUAUUGCCACAAGUCUUUCCUCACUCCAGCUGUCACAUUGCCUUGUGAUUUUCUGAAUGAACUCGUUACAGAACCACGAGGCCCUUGGCUUCUCUGUUGUUACUCCAGUCAGAGACUUUUGCUGAAAUAAUUUUUUGUGCCUUUCAUUGACACAUAGUCUCACUUCACACACAUGUGGUGUAGUCCUCCUACUUCUUAAAAAAUAAAAA
ensembl:lncRNA